CCUACGGGAGGCAGCAGUAAGGAAUAUUGGUCAAUGGACGCAAGUCUGAACCAGCCAUGCCGCGUGAAGGAUGAAGGUCCUCUGGAUUGUAAACUUCUUUUAUAUGGGAAGAAAUCCAUCUUUUCUUGGGUGGUUGACGGUACCAUAGGAAUAAGCACCGGCUAACUCCGUGCCAGCAGCCGCGGUAAU
rnacentral:rRNA from 1 species